GAGGAUGCAAGCGUUAUCCGGAUUUAUUGGGUUUAAAGGGUGCGUAGGCUGUUUGUCAAGUCAGCGGUGUAAUACCGGAGCCCAACUCCGGAACUGCCGUUGAUACUGAUGAGCUGGAAUACGGAUGCCGUGGGAGGAAUGAGUAGUGUAGCGGUGAAAUGCAUAGAUAUUACUCAGAACACCGAUUGCGAAGGCAUCUCACGAAUCCGUCAUUGACGCUGAGGCACGAAAGCGUGGGGAUCAAA
rnacentral:rRNA from 1 species